CGGGUCUUAUGCAAUGGAUCUCUACGAACCGUGUCAGGUCGGGAACGAAGCAGCACUAAGUAGAACCUUUCAUGUGUUGUAAGGUGCCU
rnacentral:SRP_RNA from 1 species